rnacentral:rRNA from 1 species
GUGGGGAAUAUUGCGCAAUGGGGGGAACCCUGACGCAGCCAUGCCGCGUGAAUGAAGAAGGCCUUCGGGUUGUAAAGUUCUUUCGGUGACGAGGAAGGUACUUAGGUUAAUACCCUAAGUAAUUGACGUUAAUCACAGAAGAAGCACCGGCUAACUCCGUGCCAGCAGCCGCGGUAAUACGGAGGGUGCGAGCGUUAAUCGGAAUAACUGGGCGUAAAGGGCACGCAGGCGGAUUUUUAAGUGAGGUGUGAAAGCCCCGGGCUUAACCUGGGAAUUGCAUUUCAGACUGGGAAUCUAGAGUACUUUAGGGAGGGGUAGAAUUCCACGUGUAGCGGUGAAAUGCGUAGAGAUGUGGAGGAAUACCGAAGGCGAAGGCAGCCCCUUGGGAAUGUACUGACGCUCAUGUGCGAAAGCGUGGGGAGCAAACAGGA